rnacentral:rRNA from 1 species
CAGGAUUUUUAAAUAACUUAGUGGCGGACGGGUGAGUAACGUGUGGGCAACCUGCCUCAUACUGUGGAAUAAUCAUUGGAAACGAUGACUAAUACCGCAUGUCGUCACCGGAGGGCAUCCUCUGGUGAGAAAAGGAUUUAUUCGGUAUGAGAUGGGCCCGCAUCUGAUUAGCUAGUUGGUGAGAUAAUAGCCCACCAAGGCGACGAUCAGUAGCCGGCCUGAGAGGGUGAACGGCCACAUUGGGACUGAGACACGGCCCAAACUCC